UUAGCCAACAUCUACUAAAUUCCCUGUACCAGUGGGAAUACACCAGUUCACUCAGGCCAUUUAUUUUUUGGUUUUAGAUCUUUGAUUAAAUUACCCCCCUUAUACAUUGCACUGGGCUUUGAGGAAAGGUCAGAGAGAUCUGAAUAUUUUUCAUCUCAGCAUCCUACUUGGUUUGAUGGUGCUAGAAUUGAAGGUAUUUGUCAAAGUCAGUGAGAAGGAGAUGUUUUCAUUCUGCAUCAGUAUUGCUCUCAGCCUUGCCCUGGGAAAAGACUGAUUUUUCUAAGAAAUGAGGGGGACUGAGUUUUUGCUUGCUAGACUGAAGAUUUCUGCUUAAAUAUACUAAAUUUAGUGUGUUGUGUGAUAGGAAGAUAAGAACUGUCCACUUAAGAUAGGGUCAGCAGUUUGGUGCAGCUUGCACAAUCUGAAAUCUCAUCAUCUUUUUUUCUUAGUGUUAAGUAAUAGACCACAGGUCAGGUCAGUUUUGAUCCUACUGUCCACUUGAGAAUUUUAAUCAAGAAGAAACUAGUUUCAGGAUUUCACACAGAGCGGAACUUCCUUUGAAGCCUGUGUGUAACUGUAACUAUUCAUUACAUUCCUUCCACUGGAUAGAUUUGCACCAUUGUUGCAUAUUUAAAAAUUACAAAGAGUUACAGAGCUGAUGAGGCAAAAUUUCUUUAAGCUACUGGUCUCCAUCAAGUGUUCCAGUGCAGCUUUGUACAGAGGACCAUGAAAGAGGAAAGAGAACCCAGAAGGAUGCCUGAGAGAAAUGACUGCUGUUUUGCAUGACCAGAUGAACUAAAUGCAAAAAUCUAAUUUCACUUGAAGAGACGGUAGUGCACAUGGACAGCUAUGAGUGUUGGACAUCAUUGUAAAACAGAACUCCGUCCAGAUGAGAGCGACAAUGAAAAAUCGCAAUAAAAAGUAACCUGGUGAGUUAACAAAAUUCACCCCAAAGCUGAUGACAAUCAACAUCCUUGCAGACAGAAGAUCUAGAAUCAGUUGAGAGUUAAAAAUGUUGAGUGUAAAGAAUUGCUAAUGAGAGAGCUUGAGGACUUGCCUGGGUUUAUGUAUGAAUAAAUUCCCAAGCUGCUGGAAUUGAAUAUUAAAAAGAAACCAUUCUGUAGUGGAAAGGCGGUAUCGAGCUUCUAUGCAGAAAAUGAAAAGGGGCAGAGAAGGAGGGUAACGAAGCAAGUUUCUCAUACUAGGAACGUGGCAAGGACUCAUAAGGCUGCCUAAGCUGCUGGAGAGAUCAUUUUCAAGCCUUCUCUUGGUCCAAGAUCUGAGCAGUGUGGUGGUCACAGCCACCUGGAGCCUCUGCUACAGCGCCUCCCUGCUGAGCUCCCCUUUCCAGAGCAGUGGGCUGAAUCCAAAAGGUGCUCUGUAUAUGAGGCAGCAUUCCCAGGCAUGGCAGAAGGUAAAAAAUGCCCAACCUGCACCAAGCCAGCCAACCCUAUCUUUGCUAAGGCACAAGGCUCUGAGUCGGACAGGCAUGUUGUGGCCCCAACCCCCCAAGAAACGAUGAUUCCACUGCAGGGAAACCUGACCAGGAGAUAGCACAGAAUAGGAAGAGGCUCUGAGGAUGCAGACUUCAUCCAGCCGACCCCGGGGCCAUUGUACUUUUCCUGUGGGUGUGGAUGUUCACUCUGGAGGCAUUGGAACAGGUGGCUCUGGGGUGGAAGGGAUUUCUCCUGCUGCAUUCCUGCACACGCGUUCUCUUGGCCAGAACUGUCUGCAGAGCAGACUCCAUCUUUGCCACGAGGGUGCUAAAG